CACCGCGGUUAUACGAAGAGGCUCAAAUUGAUACUCUACGGCGUAAAGCGUGAUUAGAGAAAGUUUAAACUAAAGCCGAACACCUCCUUAGCUGUUAUACGCCUAAAGAGGCACGAAGCCCCACAACGAAAGUAGCUUUAACCCAAAUCCUUGAAUUCACGAAAAUUAAGAAA
rnacentral:rRNA from 1 species